AUUCUAUUUUUUCCUUAGAGAAAUUUCUCUCCAGUUAGGAACACCAUGCUAAUUGCCUAAUAUUGAGAAUCUUUCAUCACUGACUAGUAACAUUCAUUGCUGGACUUGGUUGAUGUGUGAAGCUGUUGACCAUGGUUUAAGGAUGGAUAUCCAGGUGGAGUUUUGUCCUCUUCUUGCCAGGGUUCAAGGAUAUCUCAUUCAGCAUCUAAAUGAAGAUAAAACAUCAUUCAGAACUGAUUUGGAAGACUCAGUGGACAAGUUCACAACCUACAUGACACAAUGCAUAGCUGAGGAACAUCCCAAUGAGGCCUCCCUGCAAAGCCUUCACAACCUGCUGCUGGCCUCGUCGGGCAUCGCACCGCUGAGCGCGACCAGCCAGCACGUGCAGUCGGCGCUAGCCAAGCUGGGCGGCGCGGCCGUG